CAAGGAAAGAAGACGAAGUUUGA
rnacentral:piRNA from 1 species